GAGUCAGAGAGAGGAACCCCAGAGAAAGUCAGGCAGACAGAGACGGACAGACACCCGGAGUGACAGAGGAUAAGAGAUGGAGAGAGACACCCCCAGAGGGGAAAAAGUGGUCGGAGAGACACACAGAGGGAAACGGACAGAAAGAGACAAAAACAGACUGACAGAGACAGUGACAGAGACACCUAGGGCACAGGGAGAGAUAAAGACAGAGACGGGAGAGAGAGAGAGAAAUGGAGACCCACAGAGAUGGUAGGAUUGGAGGCAGAGCCCCUGGCCCCAGAGGUGGAAGGCGCAGACAAACAGCCGUGGGGGCCUGGCUGGUGGAGAAGCUGCCUACCUUGGACCUGAGGAUAUUUCAGCAGGAGCAGGAGAGUGUAGCGAAUCGUGGUGCUGACUGUCACCGUCCCGGCGAACAACAGGGGACACAGGUUCGAGCCCUGGUCCGGGAAGAUCCCACGUGCCGCGGAGCAACUAAGCCCAUGCGCCACAACUACUGAGCCUGCGCUCUAGAGCCCGCAAGCCACAACUACUGAGCCCGUGUGCCACAACUAAUGAAGCCCACGCGCCUAGAGCCCAUGCUCCGCAACAAGAGAAGCCACCCCAAUGAGAAGCCCGCGCACCGCAACGAAGAGUAGCCUCCACUUGCUGCAACUAGAGAAAGCCUGCUCACAGCAACGAAGACCCAAC